ACGAACGUCGACACACAUAUUCAAAAAUUUUUAAUUCCCAAAAAUAAGAAUUCCAUAUUAACCCAGAGCUAUAGACUCUGAUUAACCAGAGGAGAACCAGAGCUAUAGACUCCGGAGACUAUAGCUCUGAUAAAGAAUCACGAUUCACGACAAUUUGUUUCUUUUCUUGACCGUUUGGUCGUUCGUUUAGUCAGGCGCAGUGAAGUAUGAGUGUGUACUAGCCAGUGACUCGAUUACUCAUCACUCUGAAAGAACAGCGCCAUCUCAACCAAAAGAUAGUGCGUUGGAGUAGGACACUAGGACAGCUUCGUCGAACCCUAUGGAAAUCUAACAUCAACCCACGUCAUUCGGGAAAUUAUUUCGAUCUUAAGCGGUUGAAAUGAUGGCAAAAAUAGAAAUCCUGGAAUCGGCCAUUUCAAGAAUUACCAGUCCACUAUAAUUAACAUUAACGGUUUAAUAUCAUAGUACAUUCCACCAGGAUAUGUAUUCAUUCAAAUUAUAUGGAUACAUGUUGGAUAAGUUAACCAUAUAGUUGCAAUUGAUGCCCUUUCAACCCAAAACGACAACUUAAAGACCACACUUCAUUGGACGUGGAGUCAUAAAUUGUUUUACAAUUUCAUCAGUUAUCUUUUUCCUACUUUCUUGAUGACUGGUAACGAUCGGUGUAAGCACAGCAAUUAGCUCAGCUUUAAUUUCGCCAGUCAACAUUGCCCCGCUGGUAUAAUCUUCACGAAUUUUCUCAAGCCGAGCA